AUGCUGGGGACUAGCUUUUCAGAGCAGCCCUGGGAGUCGGGGGGCAGGACCCGUUUCCAGCAAGGACUGGGCUUGGCUCCGGGUCCUGGGCAGAGGAGGGAAGGCCUGCACUAGCUCCCUCCCCAGGGCAGGCUCUGCCCUUCCACCCUGCGCUGCCUCGAGGAGCUGAACCCCGCCGGCACCUGGCGACCGCCCCGGGGCGCAGGACCAGCCAGGCGGAGGAGCUGACGAGAGGGCAGCGCCGUGCCGGGGGGGUGGUGUAGCUGCCUGACUGCCUCCCCCUCAGCGGGGCCGGGCGGGGCGGGAGCCGGCGCCUCGCCGCCACUCCGCGCGCUGCUGCUGCGGGAAGCCGCUCUGGGCUGGGAUUAGCAGCCGCCCCCUCCCCGCUCUCUUCCUCUCCCUCCUUCCUCCUGUCUCUGCGCGGCGGCGGCGGCGGAGCAGGCACCAUUCCUAGGAGACCACAAGGAUCGUUAUUGUUCAGGAUUUCAAAGAGCCAUCAUUUAUGUUUGUGGACACAAGUGAAUGGACAAUGGUGCCCCAAUCAUCUGUUCAAGCUGUUUGAAAGAAAGGCUUCUGUACAAAUGGCAUGA
rnacentral:lncRNA from 1 species